GCAGCUGUCUGAGGUUUACUGGAGCCAGGAUCAUCUUUCAGCCUGAGGUAGAAUGAGAGCUCGUGCCCAGCUGCUUUGCUUUUCUCAAGUUCACCUUGAAGCUUGAACACCAAUGGCAUCCAGGUAGUAGGAGCCUGCAGCAAGGGAAAUGCAUUGUUUCAUGGAGGACCAGAAAGCAAAGAUGUGGGAUGCUGGAUACCAGCAGGCUUCCUAUGUUGUCUCAUCACCCCAAGUGUUCCUGCCCAGAACAAGGCCUCCUGAAGUAGAGAGGUCAACAGCAAAAAUAUCUUCAAGAACUCCCUGAAACUCAAAAGAUUCACUAGUUCCCUCCCUGCCAGAGAAAGCAGGGCCAAGCAGCAAAGCCUCUCACAAGAAAAGCAACCCAGCCAAGCAGAAACCGGCCAAGCUGCCUGGAAGGGGUUUGGCCCACUUGAGGCACCUGAAAAGGACACUCUCCACCCUGCUGAGCUGCCAGCUCCAGGGUCCCAGCUUUUGUGAGCCUUUCCUCACUCAUACUGUGUAUGCUUUGGUGAUGCAGCUGCCUUUGAGUUUUUCUGUUCAUACAAGUGAUCUCGACCUCAUCCAUAUUCCUAUAAGUGACUCCAAUAAAUUUAUUAGUUCACCAAGAUGAAUUUGGUGAUAUCUGCA